UGAUCAGAGUAGAAUGGUUUAGUCCAAACAGGGAAGUGUGGUGGUCCAAUUCAUUUGCUGUCUUUUGACUUCCACACAAAGGGAAAAGUGUAGUUUCCUCAGUCCUAUGUUAACCAAGUUAGCAUUUGGUGCUAAACAUCUCACAACAACACCAGCUAACAUGAUGACGUUAGCUGCUGUUGCUAACGUAAUCUUUUAACUUGGUUCAAGUCACGGGAACAUAGGAUGGCUGUGGCUCAGGUGGUAGAGGUGUCUACCAAUUGGAAGAGCACACAGAGGUGAGCCUGGAGGUCAGAACAGUGAAGAGCAGCCUUCUCACCUCUUAGGUGAAAGUGGAAGGAGAAAAGAAUGGAGAAAUGGACGGAGAAUGGAGAAAAGAAUCAAACAGGGUAAUGCUGGGAGAACACCUUGGGGCAGAUCCAGAAACAGCUAUACAUCUGGAAGCUUCUCAGGAUCCUCCAGAGAAAAACACACUAUCGCGACUAAAUGGAAAACGAUGGAUGGAUGAAUAGAUGGAUGAAUGCACUUAGCUGCUGAAUAACCGUGACACAUACCAAAAAAAACCCUAAUUUGUCAAAACAUGUCAUGAAUGCUACAGUAUAUUACAGAAGCUGGUAAAUAUCCAUACACUGAAAUGUCUGAAUGAGUAAAUUCAGCUUGUAAAUAGAGUUGUUCACAAACAGUACUGCAAAUGACGUGCACUUAAUCCAACCUGCCAAAAGUUUCUCACUUCAAGGAAAUACUAACAGGAUCUGGCAAAAAGUCGUGUAGUCUCUGUCAACAAGUCAAAGAAACAUAAUGAUAAGGAGUGAUUAGGGAUUUGCUUCCACUGCUGUAUGAACAGUAUGUCAGCAUUGUUUUGAUCAUACCUUUUCUUGCUCUGACUAAGUAGAAAAGUAACUGAUAGAGGCAAACACUUUGAAAACUACACAUGCCGCUUCCUCUCCUUUCUCCAUCUGUCUCUCACACACACACAGUACAAUGUUCACUCCGGAGUAUAUGCAAGCCACAGGAGCAAGCCCCAUUUUUAAGGUGGAAUGCCAGUCGAUGUGAGCAGAUCCAUCAGUGUUCGUCUCCCACUGAGAUACGGAGAUGAUGGAUGGAUCUAAUGGAUUGAUUUAAGACUCAGCUCCCCGUACUGGCUCACUGUAUAACUGAGUGAAUGCGAGAGCAAAUAACUUCAGCUGGUGGGGAAUGCAUUUAUACCGUGCACUUCCUCAACAGCUCAUCCGGCUCAGUUCAUCCAUCACUCCGGCUGAUUGUCAUGUUAGGCU